rnacentral:lncRNA from 1 species
AUGGGAGUGGGAGCGGGACCCCAGGACGUGGUGGUGGCUCCAUUUUGCUGCUUCACCACUCAUUUAUGGGGCUGGGGCCCUCAUGGGAGUGGGAGCAGGACCCCAGGACAUGGUGGUGGCUCCAUUUUGCUGCCUCACCACUGGUUUGUGGGGCUGGGGCCCUCGUGGGAGUGGGAGCGGGACCCCAGGACGUUGUGGUGGCUCCGUUUUGCUGCUUCCCCACUUCUCUGUGGGGCUGGGGCCCUCACGCAGCUCCAGCAUGAAGGGGGGCUGCUGGUACCGGUGUACCAAGCACUGAAUGCUCCCAGACGGCUGCCAGGGGUGGGACGUGGGCGCAGCUGGGUCCUCCUGCGGGUGGGAUGGGCGGAAGAGGGUACGGAGCGGGCUGAAGGACCAUGAAGCCGCUUAGGGCUGAAGGAGGCUUCUGAGAAGCCCCAGAGGAGAGGACAUGGCUGGAGGAAGGAGCUCGCAUUGCAGUGCUGGGCCAGGGCCGUGCCGUGGGGUGGAGGAUGCUCAGGUGCAAAAUGGGAGCCAGGCACUCGGUCCUGGCAACGGGGAGCAAUUCGGCACGGACUUCAGCACGCAGGUAAGGGGAAGGCCAAAGAAAUACUGGGGAUUGAUGCUCCCUGCUUGCAGGAAAUCCCUGGUGAGCAGGAAGGGACUGACCGGGCCAGGGGCCGGAUCCUGCGCACACCCAGGCACCAAGCAGCUGUGCACGGCUCAUUGAGUUCCCUCCCCAAAUGCUUUCAUCUGGGAGGAAAGCACAAUUCCUUCUUUUCUUGAACAGCAGCAUUUUCCCCCUUCAGAUACAGAUUUAUAAGAAACGCUGUCUAAAAUACGAUUAUUUCCAUCCUGAUUAGGGUAAUUUUAAUUACUCGUGCCUUUGAAGAAGGAGGAUAAUGAACGGCUUGGGUUUAUUAGCAGCCUUUUAUCGGCAUCCCAUGGGACUCCCCUAUUGUCUGGGGAUUUGAAGCCCUGCCCGGCACACUGAACUGCCAGAAACCAGAGGGGCUCUACAGUGUGCUUGUCUCUUAGCGGUACAGAGGAUUGUGGUAGGAAUUAAACCCAUCGCGGAGCAGGACAUUUCUACCAGAGCAAAUAAUAGGAAACCUCUAAAGGCAGUGCAGGAAGGAGUGCUGGAAGAGCAAGCAGUGAGAGGGGACGUGCCACAGCCAGGCUGAGUGAGCGUGGGGGACUCACUGGGGCAGCUGCUAGCAGGGAAGAAAUCAGUGAGAAGAGGAAAUGAAAGAUGGAAAUACCGGACGGGCCCGGGGAGCCACCA